AUGAGGAGGAAGCCCAUCAUACAGAACGAGCAUGGCAAGAAGCAGAACUUGUCAAACUACUUCUCGUGUGCCAUGAGGGAGAGGCUCCUCGAGGAAACGGUGGACGCGCAGAUCCUGGGGGGUGGAAGAGAUGAAGGGGUUCUGUGCAUGGCUCAGUUGGCAGAGGAGUGCCUCAGGCUGACUCGAGAGGAGAGGCCAACCAUGAAAGAUGUGGAGAUGAGGCUGCAGCUCCUCACAGGAAUCCGCGUUGCACCGAGGGUGAGGCAAGAAGAAGAGGCAGGACCUGCGGGAGACGACGGACAUGGCGGGGUCGACUCGGUAGUCGGUCAGCAUGGCUCACGUCAGUUCAGCCAAGAACACGAGUUCGUUUCAUCUCUGCGUGUACCGCGGUAG
rnacentral:rRNA from 1 species